rnacentral:rRNA from 1 species
GACGAACGCUGGCGGCGUGCCUAAUACAUGCAAGUCGAGCGAAUCUUGAGGUGCUUGCGCCUCUUGGUUAGCGGCGGACGGGUGAGUAACACGUGGGCAACCUGCCUGUAAGACUGGGAUAACUUCGGGAAACCGGAGCUAAUACCGGAUAAUCCUUUUCCUCUCAUGAGGGAAAGUUGAAAGUCGGUUUACGCUGACACUUACAGAUGGGCCCGCGGCGCAUUAGCUAGUUGGUGAGGUAACGGCUCACCAAGGCGACGAUGCGUAGCCGACCUGAGAGGGUGAUCGGCCACACUGGGACUGAGACACGGCCCAGACUCCUACGGGAGGCAGCAGUAGGGAAUCUUCCGCAAUGGACGAAAGUCUGACGGAGCAACGCCGCGUGAGCGAUGAAGGCCUUCGGGUCGUAAAGCUCUGUUGUUAGGGAAGAACAAGUACCGGAGUAACUGCCGGUACCUUGACGGUACCUAACCAGAAAGCCACGGCUAACUACGUGCCAGCCGCCGCUGUAACAC